UCCUGCAUUAUUGGCUUUUCUUGUUCGUUGUUUUUUAUUUUCUUGCUUCGGUUUCCAAAACCACUGAAUUCACAGCAUGUUCAGCUAACAGAAAAAUAACCCAAGUGCUGUGCUUUGAACACAUAAUGGAUCUCCUAAAGAACAUGAAACCACCAAUGUCCACUGGAAGUUCUUGUCUACAUGAGGUGAACAUGCAGAAAGGGAAAAUGCUGACUCUGUAAGACCAAGAUCCCCACAGCUGCAAAGGAGGAUAGGGGAAGACUUCGAGCAUAAGCCCUGUUCGUACACUCUGCUGUGGAGAGCUGAAAAAGCCAUGGCACUGCACAAACCAUGUGGAAGGAAAAAGAGAAACGAAAGCAUUAGCCUUGGAAAAGAAGUAAAGUUUGUUUCAAGAAGAAUUCUAAACAAAUUUGGAACAGACAUAUCUUAAAGAGGAAAGAAGAUAAUGCUAAGAUACUGUUGGGUGAAGGUAAAAUUGGUUAACAAGAAGUCAUAGAGAAGAAUAAUAGCAAUGGAGAAAACAACCUUCUUAAAAAACACUUGAGGGUUUGUGUGGUGGGAACAGGGCUGAGGCUUUUCCACGGUGUUUUAUAGAUUGUGUGGGAACUUCUUCUCUCCUUUGUCACUUGGGCCCCAAGAGCUGCCACAGGCACUGGGAAGGGUGUGUGUGUAGGUUUCUGGCAGGUUCCAGGGUCUCUUUCCAGUCUCAAGUGCUAAAUGUUGAUGCAGCAGCAUACCUGGCACAAGUACUCUCAGCAAGAUUUAUGCUGGCCGGCUCAAUGAACCUGUGUUGACAACAUCCUAAAACUGUCAGCCCAUUCUGUUUCUUUAGCAAACAGAGUUGGAAAAUCAAACUCAGGCCAAUCAAAAAUGGGAAAAGUUGUCAAUGUAAUUUAAGAUCCAGUAUCAUUCAGGAGCCAGUGAAUGAGAGAAAAAAAAGUCUGCUCUGUUAAGAGAGUAUUUUUCAGGCAAAGAUGGCAAUUUACUUCAAGCUUGUAAUAGGUACAUUUAAUGCAUUUGAAUAUAUUAAUUUAUCCUACAGCUGUAGAAUGCUAUUCUCAGUUAAACAAAAGCAUUAGAUCAUGAUACUAACAAUACUUUUGACAGUGUAAAGUUUUGAAGGGAAAAUAAAAGCACUUCCUGGCAGAGCUGGGCCAAAUUAUGGCAGAGGGAGAGGAAAUAGCAGAACACAAGAUAUAUUGUAUUUAUGGUGACAGUUUUUGUCUUUGAGGCCUGGGAUCAUUUUGCAGAAAGUUUAGAGUUGUGUUUCUCCCAUUUUUUAAAACUAUACCAUACUGUGAUCAAAGACAUUUCAAAUUGCUAGCCCUCCAAAACUGAAAGCCACUGUAAAUGGGUGACAGAGGAAUGUUGCUCUCACAUACUUAUAGUUCCCUCUGUCAUUGUUAUUCCUUGGUAAAAAUUGAAAAUCUUUGAUCAAAAAUAGUUUUAAACUUUUGAAAUGAAAUACAGCUUAUUAGAU